CAAUAGCGUAUAUUUAAGUUGUUGCAGUUAAAAAGCUCGUAGUCGGAUUUUGGCUGAGAACGAUCGGUCCGCCGUUAGGUGUGCACUGAUUGGUCUCAGCUUCCUGGUGAGGAGGUGUGCUUCACGGCCACUUAGUCACCGUGGUUACUUUGAAAAAAUUAGAGUGUUCAAAGCGGGCUUACGCUUGAAUAUAUUAGCAUGGAAUAACACCAUAGGACUCCUGUCCUAUUUCGUUGGUCUCGGGACGGGAGUAAUGAUUAAGAGGAACAGUUGGGGGCAUUCGUAGUUCAUUGUCAGAGGUGAAAUUCUUGGAUUUAUGAAAGACGAACUUCUGCGAAAGCAUUUGCCAAGGAUGUUUUCAUUGA
rnacentral:rRNA from 1 species